UAGGUACAGAGAUCCACGGGGAUCUGCCAAAUCCUCAGUGUUCCGAGGGAGAGGAGGUCUCAGUAACCAUAUGGAAAGUUCCAGAACUCUUCUGAAGAAUGUUCGAGUCCAAGCCACUAGGAAAUAGAGGCAGUUCGCUCCUACAAGCAAGCAUACAACACGAUAUAGGAGAACUGUACUAGGUCUUCAUGACCCUGACAAAUUCCUGACAUAACAAGGUCAGGAUAGAAAGACUCGUUUGGGUUCACAAUUCCAGUCCAUCGUGAUGGAAGGGUCAGGCCAAGUGAAGCUCUCUCUCUCACCUGGGGAAACCAGGAAGCAGAGGAAGAAAACACCUAUGAGGGCUUGGUUUUUUCCUUUCCCACUUUAAUGCUGUCCUGAUCCCUAGCCUAGGGGAUGAUGCCGCCCACAUUCAGGGUGGGGCUUCCCCAUAAGUAAAAUAACUCCCCCUGGAAACAUCUGCCUGACACACCUGGCAGCAUUCUGUACCAACUAUCUGGGAGUGUCUGGGGCCAACUGAGUUGGCAAUCAAGAUUAGCCCUUACAGAGUCAGGGAACACACUGUGUUUACCAACAUCUGACUGUCCAAGAGAAACCAACCUCGUCCUUUCCUGUCAGGCAAUAUUUUCAUGAUCUCAAUGGGGCACAAAAGUUUUUCCUAGAAAAUGGAACAAACUCUGAAGCUCUGAGCCGUGUAAAUACAGAUUAGAACUUAG
rnacentral:lncRNA from 1 species